rnacentral:lncRNA from 1 species
UAGUUCAGUUCAGGGUUGGAACCCUAAUGUUGACUAGCUGGGGAGAAACUCUAAUGCUGACCAACUGGGGAAAAGUUCAGUUUAGGGUUGGGGCCCUAAUGCUGACUGAAUGGAAAAGUUCAGUUUAGGGUUUAAAACCCUAAUGCUGACUAAUGGAAAAGUUCAGUUUAGGGUUUAAAACCCCAAUGUUGACUGAAUGGAAAAGUUCAGUUUAGGGUUUAAAACCCUAAUGCUGACUAAAGGAAAAGUUCAGUUUAGGGUUUUAAAACCCUAAUGCUGACUAAAGGAAACAGUUCAGUUUAGGGUUUAAAACCCUAAUGCUGACUGAAUGGAAAAGUUCAGUUUAGGGUUUUAAAACCCUAA